rnacentral:rRNA from 1 species
GGUUGAAAGCUCCGGCGGUGAAGGAUGAGCCCGCGGCCUAUCAGCUUGUUGGUGAGGUAGUGGCUCACCAAGGCGACGACGGGUAGCCGGCCUGAGAGGGCGACCGGCCACACUGGGACUGAGACACGGCCCAGACUCCUACGGGAGGCAGCAGUGGGGAAUAUUGCACAAUGGGCGAAAGCCUGAUGCAGCGACGCCGCGUGAGGGAUGACGGCCUUCGGGUUGUAAACCUCUUUCAGCAGGGAAGAAGCGAAAGUGACGGUACCUGCAGAAGAAGCGCCGGCUAACUACGUGCCAGCAGCCGCGGUAAUACGUAGGGCGCAAGCGUUGUCCGGAAUUAUUGGGCGUAAAGAGCUCGUAGGCGGUCUGUCGCGUCGGAUGUGAAAGCCCGGGGCUUAACCCCGGGUCUGCAUACGAUACGGGCAGACUAGAGUGUGGUAGGGGAGAUCGGAAUUCCUGGUGUAGCGGUGAAAUGCGCAGAUAUCAGGAGGAACACCGGUGGCGAAGGCGGAUCUCUGGGCCAUUACUGACGCUGAGGAGCGA